AACGAACGCUGGCGGCAUGCCUAACACAUGCAAGUCGAACGAGACCUUCGGGUCUAGUGGCGCACGGGUGCGUAACGCGUGGGAACCUGCCCUUAGGUUCGGAAUAACUCCCCGAAAGGGGUGCUAAUACCGGAUAAUGUCUUCGGACCAAAGAUUUAUCGCCUUUGGAUGGGCCCGCGUUGGAUUAGCUAGUUGGUAGGGUAAAAGCCUACCAAGGCGACGAUCCAUAGCUGGUCUGAGAGGAUGAUCAGCCACACUGGGACUGAGACACGGCCCAGACUCCUACGGGAGGCAGCAGUGGGGAAUAUUGGACAAUGGGCGAAAGCCUGAUCCAGCAAUGCCGCGUGAGUGAUGAAGGCCUUAGGGUUGUAAAGCUCUUUUACCCGGGAUGAUAAUGACAGUACCGGGAGAAUAAGAGCCGGCUAACUCCGUG
rnacentral:rRNA from 1 species